GAGGGCAGAGAGCUGCCGUCAGCUCGUGGAGGGAAGAGUCACAAGCCAAAGGAUGGCAGGCCAAGGAAGGGGCUGCGGGUCUGUUCCCUGGGCAGGAAAUUCAGAAAACUCCAUGGUGGAGCUUGGGCUUGGGACUCAGCCACAUUCUGAGACCAGAGGCUACUGAACAUUGCAGAGCCCUCCGGAUCUGCCAAGCAUCAAAGAUCAAAACCACAGACAUGCAGGAAAAAGAGGUACAACAGGCAAUGGCUUCAGCCUCUUUGGAAACCUGGAGUUUAUAGCUUGAGCUGGACCUAAAACCUGACCAUCAUCCACCAUGCCUGGAUUUAAACUCAGUACAUUGGUCAUGGCCAUCUCCAGCAGACCCCUUACCACCAAGCCCUAAAUUCAAACAGGAUGAGCGACCUCCUCUGCCUGCUCUGAUUUCUCAAGGCCCACGGUCCACAGAGGAAAUCCCUACCUGACUCGGCGAUCAGCCCGAAACUUCAACAUCUUUUUGGAAGCUCAGUCCCCAGUUCGGCAGCCUCAGAGGAGCCACCAGCCACCCUGCUGCUACCAUCCCUCUGAGAAGGAGACGGUGCUCCGGCCUCUCCAGCUCCCAGCCCAGACACAGGCUCUGGCACUGCAAACCAACUUGCUUCUCAGAGACCUGCCAAGCCCUUCUGAGUGUUAAAGGGAGCUCCAGGUUCAUUGGUUGCUCUGGUUGC